CCUACGGGGGGCAGCAGUGGGGAAUAUUGGACAAUGGGGGCAACCCUGAUCCAGCCAUGCCGCGUGUGUGAAGAAGGCCCUCGGGUUGUAAAGCACUUUCAGUGAGGAAGAACGCCUGGUGGUUAAUACCCAUCAGGAAAGACAUCACUCACAGAAGAAGCACCGGCUAACUCCGUGCCAGCAGCCGCGGUAAUACGGAGGGUGCGAGCGUUAAUCGGAAUUACUGGGCGUAAAGCGCGCGUAGGUGGCUUGAUAAGCCGGUUGUGAAAGCCCCGGGCUCAACCUGGGAACGGCAUCCGGAACUGUCAAGCUAGAGUGCAGGAGAGGAAGGUAGAAUUCCUGGUGUAGCGGUGAAAUGCGUAGAGAUCGGGAGGAAUACCAGUGGCGAAGGCGGCCUUCUGGACUGAAACUGACACUGAGGUGCGAAAGCGUGGGUAGCAAACAGGAUUAGAUACCCUAGUAGUC
rnacentral:rRNA from 1 species